AUGCGUACGAUACUGCUUUUUGCUCGUUGAACUCUCACUCAAGCAACCCGUAUUCCUCCAACAUAUCUUCACUCAGUUCUACAAAGUCAAUAUACUCCUCCGCAAAGUCGUUCCAAGUAACAUUCUCAAUCCUCGACAUAAAUCUCGGCGGUUCCGGGCUCUCCGAAUAUAAUCUCGCAAACAGCGCUUCCGCUUCCUCCGCCUGAGACAUAUAUAUCUCCAUCUUAUUCACCACAGGCCCCAGCGCAAUAUCAACAGACGUCUUUUCUUUGUACAACAACAUUAUCAAGCGCUACCGCGCCCUUCCAUACCCCACACACAAGGGACAUCAUGUCCUCAUCCUCCCAUCGGGGACAUUUGGUCCCAUAGGGUGCUUUGAUAAGGGAGAUGAUAGUUCGGAUACGACUGUAGGGCCAAAUAAACGGUAACUGCAUGAUAGCGCUUCGGACUGGCGCUUGAUUGUUGAUUGGGGUGUGGAAAAUGACUGUUGUCAUUUCCGGACGACAUUCUGCGAUUCGUCGAAGUUCGUCAAGGACGUAGUGAUACCUUGCCCUUCCAUUAAAGAGUACGUGCGCUACCGUUUCUUGGAAGCCGCGGGACAGAAGACGGAUGAGAGUGUUGUCCACGUUUUGGGAGGUAUAGCAUACCGAAUAUCUAUUUAAGAAUUGACUAUUGACGACUUCCCAAUCGUACUCCAACCGCUUAACGUUUGAGAACAAGUUCCUUACUGGCCAUUCGAGGGCGGCGAUAGGAUCAGGACAACAUGAAAUAUUGAAAUGAGUGGAAACCACGGCGCCCCCCAUGUUCCCUAUACGCAGAAUUCGUGUACGGGACAGUGCGGGAGCCAUGCUUCGACGGUACUGUGCUGGCUAAGACUGUGGAAAAGCUUGUGACAGACAGUGACGGUGUGGUAGAGGGUGGGUAUGGUGCGCUUAUAGUAAUAUUUGGAGAGAAUGAGGGUUUUUAGGGGCGCGAUGAGGGAGAGCUGGUGGAGGAUAUGAUGGGCGACGGGAUAGAGGAUCUCGAAGGGAGGUUCUUCGGAUGUGGUGAAUGCUUGAGACAUGGCAUAGAUAGGCAUAGAUAGGUAUUGGCGAAUGGACCCAAGCGCAUAUAUGCUACUGGGCUUCAGCUACAUACGAUACAUUUAUCAAUUGUCAACUAACAGAGGGCACCCAAAAGCAUGAUGAACGAAUAUUAU
rnacentral:sRNA from 1 species